GUCUGCGCGUUCGAGGUCAUCAGUGCGGCCGCCGGGACUGCUUCGACCAGCAGCUACUCGACCACCGCCUCUCCUCCUUUCCUUCGGUCGCGAUUCGCGAAUUCGUCUGUCGUUGCCACGAUUUCGUCCAAGAGUAGGCAGAUGAUAGCUGGAGGAGCUGCCGGUGGAAGCAAGAUAACAACAGGCGGCGCGAGUGCACAACGCGAGCCUGGGAGGAAGACGGUGCUGAUUUAGGAGCAGAGACAUCAAUCACAUGGUCGCUCAGCUCAAUGCACCUGCUGGUGUACAUUUCACAAUGGUGGCGCUGAUGGCCAACAGGAUGGAGAUGCAGACUCACUACAGGGUGCUGGAGAACUGAGACAUCGGCUCCAUCGAUUCCUCCGCAACUGAGAAUCUCUUCAUCAUAACUGCCAGUAUGUGGAUCGUGAUGUGUGCAGGCCAGAUUUAUUCCAUUUCUUCUUUCAAUGCAACCUUUUUUCAGAAGCUUUCAUUAAGGUAGAAAAUAAUAAUGUUGAAGGAGAUUCAGAUUAUUGGGCAAGUAGUAGCAAGUUGAGAAGAUAAAAUGUUGCAGGAUGGAUGACAUGGAUUCUUGGCUGAAUGAGAUGAUUCAAGCGCCUCCAUGAAAUGGAGCAGAAUAUGUGAGUAAUAACUUGCGGGAAGGACUGCCUACAGCUUUCAGAGUGAAAGUUAAGGUUUGUUAUGACUCACAAGUGAGAAAAAUUAACAAGUAGGAAUUUCUGGAAUAUGAGUCAAGUAAAUUGGAAUUUUGAUUUUAUGUUUGCAUUGUUUCUUUGUUAGGUUUUCUGAAAAGAACAUUUACAUUACUUAAUUCUACAUUGCUUGCUCAGAUGAAAUGUUUCCAUGGAACUUGAUUGUUAGCUAGCUGAGCUAAAACGAGCAUUGAUGAACUCCAUGGAUGGACAGUCAUGAAGAUAGAUGGAUUGGAGCCAGGAGGUCAUUCAAUACACAUCUGACUCUGUGGUGCAAGGCCGCAUAUGUCAUUGUGGAUGUCCCCUGUCAGAUAAGAAGCAAAAUGAUGUCAAAAUGUGGAAACCUUUUAGCAUAUAAUUCAGUUAUGGUGUUUCGCUUAACCUAAGGUCUGCAAUUUAAGCUGCUCACUUUUCUACAGAAAAUACGUAAAAUACCUUUGAUAUUUGGAUGAUGUUUGCAUCUGAGUUAGGAUUUUGCUGUUGCAGAUUUAGAUGGUCAUGACGUUAUGAAGAUUCAGAACGUGUGCCACAAGUCGAAAUGCUGAAGCUCCAAAGAAAAGAUGCUUUCAAUAUGAUAACCCCCAUCUAUGUUGACCUCUUUCAAAUGUUCAGAUCAUGUUCGUUUUACCAUUCCUGGUCUAGGUGUCGACGCCUAAGCGCAGCAGCAGAGCCAAGGUAGAUUAUUGGCUAUACACUCUGAAGUGCUGAUGAUGACCACCAAAACAGUGUAACAUCAGCAGCCAAACACGGCUGCUAAAACAGCAUCACUAGGAGACCACUAGGAAACACUGAACUACUGGUGCUCUCUACGCUGAAGCGGUUGCCUGCCUGAAAGCCAUCGAGUUUGCAGCCGAGGUAGCUAUGGGACAGAUAAUAAUUGAAACGGAUGCAUCCUUGAUAAAAUGGCCUCCCAAUCUUGUGAAUUUGGUUCAUCUCGGCAUGGAGUUUCUUCUCAGGGAUCCAAAAUUUCUGCUGCUCACCAACGUUUUUGCAUUAUAAAGUGUUCUACUGUAAGACUUUUUUUUUUAAUUCAGUGCCUCAUGUCUUAGCUACUAAUGGUGCUAGCUUAGUCUCGGGUGGUGGUAUGAUGUGGCAUGAUCAUGCACCAGAUAGUGUAUUUCAUAUUGUUGCUAGCGAACUACCUGCAACAGAUCAGUGAAGUCCACGGUUUUCUGUUAAAAAGAAGUCGGAACAGUUCUGUACAUAGCAAUGCUAUGUGCCGUACUAUUGCGAGUUCAGUAGCAAAUGUACCGCCUCUGUCUACCACUACCUAAAAUUAAAAUGUAUGCCCUCCACCAUGUAAUCCAUUGCAUACACAUAUGCUACUACU